rnacentral:tRNA from 1 species
GUUGAGGUGGGGCAAAGAGGUGGUGCUCCAACGGCCUGCAAAGCCGUUUAGACGGGUUCGAUUCCCGUCCUCGCCUCCA